rnacentral:snoRNA from 13 species
UUGCAAACUCGAUCACUAGCUCUGCAUGGUGUUGCAGAAGCAAGGGGAACCAGGUUUGCUAAAGAAAGUGAGGAGAUGGAAAUCUUUCGGCCUUAGAGGAAAUGUCGGGGCUGUCUUUUCUCUCUCCCUACACGC